rnacentral:rRNA from 1 species
AUUGAACGCUGGCGGCAUGCCUUACACAUGCAAGUCGAACGGCAGCGGACCUUCGGGUGCCGGCGAGUGGCGAACGGGUGAGUAAUAUAUCGGAACGUACCUUUCAGUGGGGGAUAACGUAGCGAAAGUUACGCUAAUACCGCAUAUUCUGUGAGCAGGAAAGCAGGGGAUCGCAAGACCUUGCGCUGAUUGAGCGGCCGAUAUCAGAUUAGCUAGUUGGUGAGGUAAAGGCUCACCAAGGCGACGAUCUGUAGCGGGUCUGAGAGGAUGAUCCGCCACACUGGAACUGAGACACGGUCCAGACUCCUACGGGAGGCAGCAGUGGGGAAUUUUGGACAAUGGGCGCAAGCCUGAUCCAGCCAUGCCGCGUGAGCGAAGAAGGCCUGG